rnacentral:rRNA from 1 species
UACGGAGGAUGCGAGCGUUAUCCGGAUUUAUUGGGUUUAAAGGGUGCGUAGGCGGGCUUUUAAGUCAGUGGUAAAAAUUCGGGGCUCAACCCCGUCCGGCCGUUGAAACUGGGGGUCUUGAGUGGGCGAGAAGAAGGCGGAAUGCGUGGUGUAGCGGUGAAAUGCAUAGAUAUCACGCAGAAUCCCGAUUGCGAAGGCAGCCUUCCGGCGCCCUACUGACGCUGAGGCACGAAAGUGCGGGGAUCGAACAGG